UAGGGAAUCUUCGGCAAUGGGGGCAACCCUGACCGAGCAACGCCGCGUGAGUGAAGAAGGUUUUCGGAUCGUAAAGCUCUGUUGUAAGAGAAGAACGAGUGUGAGAGUGGAAAGUUCACACUGUGACGGUAACUUACCAGAAAGGGACGGCUAACUACGUGCCAGCAGCCGCGGUAAUACGUAGGUCCCGAGCGUUAUCCGGAUUUAUUGGGCGUAAAGCGAGCGCAGGCGGUUAGAUAAGUCUGAAGUUAAAGGCUGUGGCUUAACCAUAGUACGCUUUGGAAACUGUUUAACUUGAGUGCAGAAGGGGAGAGUGGAAUUCCAUGUGUAGCGGUGAAAUGCGUAGAUAUAUGGAGGAACACCGGUGGCGAAAGCGGCUCUCUGGUCUGUAACUGACGCUGAGGCUCGAAAGCGUGGGGAGCAAACAGGAUUAGAUACCCUGGUAGUCCACGCCGUAAACGAUGAGUGCUAGGUGUUAGGCCCUUUCCGGGGCUUAGUGCCGCAGCUAACGCAUUAAGCACUCCGCCUGGGGAGUACGACCGCAAGGUUG
rnacentral:rRNA from 1 species